GAUGAACGCUGGCGGCGUGCUUAACACAUGCAAGUCGAGCGGGCAAUUUAUCUAGCACUGAUUACUUCAAAUGGAAAUCAUAAGUGUAAUCAUGAAUUUCUACCUUUAAUAAAGAAAAAGAAAUUCAUGUACGCAAAUAGUGAUAACACAUUUUAGUGGAGUGAUGAGUGCUGGAUAAAUUGCUAGCGGCGGACGGGUGCGUAACACGUGGGUAACCUGCCCCUAUCACUGGGAUAACACACUGAAAAGUGUGCUAAUACCAGAUAAUAUAAGCUUUUGGCAUCAUUAGCUUAUCAAAGAAUUUCGGAUAGGGAUGGGCCCGCGUCUGAUUAGCUAGUUGGUGAGGUAACGGCUCACCAAGGCAACGAUCAGUAGCCGACCUGAGAGGGUGAUCGGCCACACUGGAACUGAGACACGGUCCAGACUCCUACGGGAGGCAGCAGUGGGGAAUAUUGCAC
rnacentral:rRNA from 1 species